AUUGAACGCUGGCGGCAGGCCUAACACAUGCAAGUCGAGCGGGGUUUUCGGACCUAGCGGCGGACGGGUGAGUAAUGCGUAGGAAGCUGCCCGAUAGAGGGGGAUACCAGUUGGAAACGACUGUUAAUACCGCAUAAUGUCUACGGACCAAAGUGUGGGACCUUCGGGCCACAUGCUAUCGGAUGCGCCUACGUGGGGUUAGCUAGUUGGUGAGGUAAUGGCUUACCAAGGCGACGAUCUCUAGCUGGUUUGAGAGGAUGAUCAGCCACACUGGAACUGAGACACGGUACAGACUCCGACGGGAGGCAGCAGUGGGGAAUAUUGGACAAUGGGCGCAAGCCUGAUCCAGCCAUGCCGCGUGUGUGAAGAAGGCCUUCGGGUUGUAAAGCACUGUCAGCGAGGAGGAAGGGUGGUGUGUUAAUAGCACAUCAUUUUGACGUUACUCGCAGAAGAAGCACCGGCUAACUCUGUGCCAGCAGCCGCGGUAAUAC
rnacentral:rRNA from 1 species